CGGGACAGCCUCGGGAAACCGUGGGUAAUACCGGAUACUCCGGGACGGCCGCAUGGCCGGCCCGGGAAAGCCCAGACGGGAGGGGAUGGGCCCGCGGCCUGUUAGCUAGUCGGCGGGGUAACGGCCCACCGAGGCGAUUAUGGGUAGCCGGGUUGAGAGACCGACCGGCCAGAUUGGGACUGAGACACGGCCCAGACUCCUACGGGAGGCAGCAGUGGGGAAUCUUGCGCAAUGGGCGGAAGCCUGACGCAGCGACGCCGCGUGCGGGACGAAGGCCUUCGGGUCGUAAACCGCUUUCAGCAGGGACGAGGCCCUCACGGUGACGGUACCUGCAGAAGAAGCCCCGGCUAACUACGUGCCAGCAGCCGCGGUAAUACGUAGGGGGCGAGCGUUAUCCGGAUUCAUUGGGCGUAAAGCGCGCGUAGGCGGCCUGUUAGGUCGGGGGUCAAAUACCGGGGCUCAACCCCGGUCCGCCCCCGAUACCGGCAGGCUUGAGUCUGGUAGGGGAAGGCGGAAUUCCCAGUGUAGCGGUGGAAUGCGCAGAUAUUGGGAAGAGCACCGGCGGCGAAGGCGGCCUUCUGGGCCACGACUGACGCUGAGGCGCGAAAGCUAGGGGAGCGAACAGGAUUAGAUACCCUGGUAGUCCUAGCCGUAAACGAUGAA
rnacentral:rRNA from 1 species